UACGAAGGGGGCUAGCGUUGCUCGGAAUCACUGGGCGUAAAGCGCACGUAGGCGGCUUUUAAGUCAGGGGUGAAAUCCUGGAGCUCAACUCCAGAACUGCCUUUGAUACUGAGAGCUUGAGUCCGGGAGAGGUGAGUGGAACUGCGAGUGUAGAGGUGAAAUUCGUAGAUAUUCGCAAGAACACCAGUGGCGAAGGCGGCUCACUGGCCCGGUACUGACGCUGAGGCACGAAAGCGUGGGGAGCAAACAGG
rnacentral:rRNA from 1 species